ACGAAGGGGGCGAGCGUUGUUCGGAUUUACUGGGCGUAAAGGGCGCGCAGGCGGCGACAUUUGUCAGGCGUGAAAUCCCUCGGCUUAACCGGGGAACUGCGUCUGAUACUGGAUGGCUUGAGGUUGGGAGAGGGAUGCGGAAUUCCAGGUGUAGCGGUGAAAUGCGUAGAUAUCUGGAGGAACACCGGUGGCGAAGGCGGCAUCCUGGACCAAUUCUGACGCUGAGGAGCGAAAGCCAGGGGAGCAAACGGGA
rnacentral:rRNA from 1 species